ensembl:lncRNA
GCUAUGGGUUAGUAGUAUAAUGCUAUGGAUUAGUAGUAUAAGGCUAUGGGUUAGUAGUAUAAGGCUAUGGGUUAGUAGUAUAAUGCUAUGGGUUAGUAAUACAAGGCUAUGGGUUAGUAAUAUAAGGCUGUGGGUUAGUAAUACAAGGCUAUGGGUUAGUAAUACAAGGCUAUGGGUUAGUAAUAUAAGGCUAUGGGUUAGUAAUAUAAGGCUAUGGGUUAGUAAUAUAAGGCUAUGGGUUAGUAAUAUAAGGCUAUGGGUUAGUAAUAUAAGGCUAUGGGUUAGUAGUAUAAUGCUAUGGAUUAGUAGUAUAAGGCUAUGGGUUAGUAGUAUAAGGCUAUGGGUUAGUAGUAUAAGGCUAUGGGUUAGUAAUACAAGGCUAUGGGUUAGUAGUAUAAUGCUAUGGAUUAGUAGUAUAAGGCUAUGGGUUAGUAGUAUAAGGCUAUGGGUUAGUAGUACAAGGCUAUGGGUUAGUAAUACAAGGCUAUGGGUUAGUAAUAUAAGGCUGUGGGUUAGUAAUACAAGGCUAUGGGUUAGUAAUACAAGGCUAUGGGUUAGUAAUAUAAGGCUAUGGGUUAGUAAUAUAAGGCUAUGGGUUAGUAGUAUAAGGCUGUGGGUUAGUAAUAUAAGGCUAUGGGUUAGUAAUAUAAGGCUAUGGGUUAGUAGUAUAAGGCUAUGGGUUAGUAAUAUAAGGCUAUGGGUUAGUAGUAUAAGGCUGUG